GGCAGUUACUGACGCCUGAGGAGCGAAGCAUGGGGAGCGGAACAGGAUUAGAUACCCUGGUAGUCCAUGCCGUAAACGUUGGGCGCUAGGUGUGGGGUCCAUUCCACGGAUUCCGUGCCGCAGCUAACGCAUUAAGCGCCCCGCCUGGGGAGUACGGCCGCAAGGCUAAAACUCAAAGGAAUUGACGGGGGCCCGCACAAGCGGCGGAGCAUGCGGAUUAAUUCGAUGCAACGCGAAGAACCUUACCAAGGCUUGACAUGCGCAGUGGAAUCCCAGAGAUGGGGUGUCAUUUAGUUGGUUGCGUACAGGUGGUGCAUGGUUGUCGUCAGCUCGUGUCGUGAGAUGUUGGGUUAAGUCCCGCAACGAGCGCAACCCUCGUUCCAUGUUGCCAGCACUUCGGGUGGGGACUCAUGGGAGACUGCCGGGGUCAACUCGGAGGAAGGUGGGGAUGACGUCAAAUCAUCAUGCCCCUUAUGUCUUGGGCUUCACGCAUGCUACAAUGGCCGGUACAGAGGGCUCGCCGCAUACCGUGAGGUGGAGCGACUAACGCACGAUCCCUUAAAGCUGGUCUCAGUUCGGAUCGGGGUCUGCAACUCGACCCCGUGAAGUCGGAGUCGCUAGUAAUCGCAGAUCAGCAACGCUGCGGUAGAGAAUACGUUCCCGGGCCUAUGUACACACCUGCCCGUCUUCUCGCUCUGCGUCUUAGUGCGGUGGUAACGAACACCGUUAUCACUCUGUCGUCUGUCCUUGCUCUCGCGCUC
rnacentral:rRNA from 1 species